rnacentral:rRNA from 1 species
GACGAACCGAGCGAACGUUGCUCGGAAUCACUGGGCGUAAAGGCGCGUAGGCGGGGAGGUAAGUCGGGUGUGAAAUCCCUCGGCCCAACCGAGGAACUGCGCCCGAGACUGCUUCUCUUGAGUCCCGGAGAGGAAGAUGGAAUUCCGGUGUAGCGGUGAAAUGUGUAGAGAUCGGAGGAACACCGGUGGCGAAGGCGGUCUCUGGACGGUGACUGACGCUGAGGCGCGAAGCGUGGGGAGCAAACGGGAUUGAGAUACCCGUU